rnacentral:rRNA from 1 species
UACGGGGGGGGCAAGCGUUGUUCGGAAUUACUGGGCGUAAAGGGCUCGUAGGCGGCCAACUAAGUCAGACGUGAAAUCCCUCGGCUUAACCGGGGAACUGCGUCUGAUACUGGUUGGCUUGAAUCCGGGAGAGGGAUGUGGAAUUCCAGGUGUAGCGGUGAAAUGCGUAGAUAUCUGGAGGAACACCGGUGGCGAAGGCGGCAUCCUGGACCACAACUGACACUGAGAGACGAAAGCCAGGGGAGCAAACGGG